rnacentral:tRNA from 1 species
AGUAUCUUGUAACCAAUGAAUGAAAUGGAGACUCUCUUUUAAAAGCACAAAAAAAACGCCCACCGUGGGGCUCGAACCCACGACCACAAGGUUAAGAGCCUUGCGCUCUACCAACUGAGCUAAACGGGCACUUAUUAAUUGUAGCCAGCCAAAGCCUAUUGUAAAUCAAUAUCAUUAAUAACGAUUCUUUUCCGUUCGAAAGAUCCUAAAGAAUUUGUCUUGUAUUGUAUGCAUGAGAUUAUGCUGGUCAAUGUUUUGUAUCCUUGCAGU